GCGGCGGGGACUUGGAGAAGGAGGAGGAGGACUCGACGGACUUCCCCGAAGUGAGAAGAGUACGUGAUGGGAAGUGAGCAAGUUGCGGAUGCUGGACGGCAGAGGGAGAGCCGACAGGGAGCACGACGGCCAGGCACCUGCAGGAAUGGAAUGCGCAUCGGCGUUCACUGGCGUGGAGUGAACUGGGGAAGAAGACAUUUGCCAGACAGGCUCUGGAAGAUAAGAACAAUUCUGAAGAAAUGGCAGAAGACUCACGGGGCAGACAUGAUAAGCAGGCUUGUUUCUUCAAGCUGGAUUUGCCGCAAAGAAUGAAUUGUGUGUGAGCAAAAACUGAAAAGAGCUGCAGUGUCCAGGGAACUUGGGCUUAAAAAUACUAGAACCCUAGAUUUUAUCAGAUCCAUAAGCAAACGAAAUUUAAAAGCAGUUGUGAUAUAAAACAGCAGCUCCUUUAACUUCUGCAAGUGUCACCUUCUUCAGAAGUCGCCUCAAGUCACUUUGCCUCAUUCUUAGAAACCUCAUUAAAAUUCUCCACAAGAUCUGGGACUUGAUCAUAACCUUUAGCUAGUGGUGCUCUUCCAUCCACAGAUUGUCUGGGCAUAGCUUCUGCCAGUCCCCUUAAACUAGUCAGACUCUCUGCCCCAACUGGGUUAGGAUGCUUUGUCUCACGUGGCCUAUAAUGGUGAAGGUAUUUGCUGCCAGAGAUGCCUGAACUUUAGGGUUGUUCAAAUGGAUCCCUGUUCCUUGGUUUGUAAACAUGUUCAUCUCUUCAAUACCAGAGACAUUGCUCACCCCUAACUUCUUUAAGGAGAACUGCAGUUGUUUUUGUUUUGUUUUGUUUUAAUCGUUUGCUAUGCAGUUCUACGAAUCACCUUCUUUCUGCAAACAGUUCUUUUUUCUACCGAUGCACACUUGUGCCCGAAGUUUGGUGAGUUUUUUCCUGGUUCCUGGUUGUUUCAUCUUGUUGGAGGGAAAUAGGGCCACAUGUGGGACUAGGGUUCGUGCUGGGGUUGGAGGGGUCUCAGGGCACACUGGCUGAGAUAAGUCGCACUCGGACACACACACACACACACACACACACACACAAGACAGCUCAAAUUAGCAGUUUGAAGAAUCAUAACUACUUUCCCACUCCUAGUCAAUAGAGAAAAGGUUUGCCCCCUGCCUUACAUAACACACCCCUUUUAGAUAAAGUGUGUAAACUCCACUAUGUAGAUGGAUCUUUCAUUCUUUUUAGUAAGACUUCCAAGAGUUGAUUCAGAUAAAAUGGCCUUUUCUUCCCAUGAUUUGAAAUAAGUGUUUUUGUUAGUGUUUUUGUUUUCCUGUUACUCUGUCACUGAAUAAUAGGUGCCAUUAUAUAGACAGUCCUGUGUCAGAUAUCAGGCACUAUAGGACCACCAUAAAAAUCCCCCAAAGACUACAGUCUAAGUAAUUCCUUUUGAUGGCAGAUGGGGCAAGAGCGAGGAAAAUUUAAAAGUACAAUAGCAGUAACACUGUAAGUAGAAUCACCAUGUAAUAAGUCUGCCAGCCAUGUUUAGAAAACAAAGGUGGGAAAAAGAAAAAAUGAGAACCAAUGGAAUGGACUAGACAAGAAAGCUAGCCCCGACAGAAAAGAACGAGGGCACAGAUCAUGUAGGACAGCAUAGGAUGAGACAGUUAAACCAUUAAGCGAGGCAGCCAGACAACAUCAAUAAACAUAAAUUCAACUGGUUAUUUGAUCUUUGUGGUCUUUGAGAAGCUACAGGCAGAUUCUUCACUAGAACAAAGACAUUCGGCAUGCUUUAAAUGUCUUGCCUGUGUUGUACAGAAUCAGUAAUUAAGGAAAUAUACUCUUCCUUUGCCAGGGCUCCAAAGCACUAGCUGAUUUUACCACCUGUUUCAUGGUGCUUCUAUGACAGAACUAUACCGAAAUCAGUUUGUGCCGAGUUACAAUAAGGCAAUAUCAAUAUUCAGCUAUCUAUAGACUCCUUCUAACCCAAGGGGAAAUAAGCUAUCCAAACUGGAUGCCUCCAUUUAAAAUGCCCAUCACAGUCAAUCAGAAUCCAGCAAGGAGAGAGGCAGGCCAGUGUAAACAAAAGCCAGAGAGAUGGCAAGUGGG
rnacentral:lncRNA from 1 species